rnacentral:rRNA from 1 species
AAAAAAUCUAGUCAAAUUUUCAUUGUAAAUAUGAACUCCUUUGUUAUAAGAGCGGCUAAACCUUAUUUGGCCACUACAGGAGGAACUUUUAAUGGUCAUUAUGGAGAAAUCCUUUACAAGGGAGAUAGGUUAGUUACGUUUAUAUAUGAAAAAUCGAGAUCUAGUGACAUAACACAAGGUCUUCCAAAAGUGGAACAAAUCUUUGAAGCGCGUUCAAUUGAUUCAUUAUCCCCGAAUCUCGAAAGGAGAAUUGAGGAUUUGAAUGAGCGUAUACCAAGAAUUCUUGGGGUCCCUUGGGGAUUCUUGAUUGGAGCUGAGCUAACCAUAGCCCAAAGUUGUGUCUCUUUGGUUAAUAAAAUCCAAAGGGUUUAUCGAUCCCAAGGGGUAUAG